rnacentral:lncRNA from 1 species
UGCCACGGUCUUCUCUCCACCUGUGUUGAGAGCCACAGCAGAAGGGGCCCCAGCAAACUUCCAGCUGCCAGCUGAUGAUUGGCUCACAGCGGCCCCAGCAACUUCUAGCUGCCAACUGAUUGGCUCCUCUGCGGUGAUGCUCAUUGGGCUGUUUCCCUGCCCUUUCAGACCACGGAGCUGCUCAUUGGGGGACUUUUUUGGCUCCGCCCACACGACCCAGCCAAUCGGCCUCAAGAGCAG